CUGCCCAUAACCUCCAGUACGAUUCUACUCACCGCAAUAACCAAGACUUCUCCGCUGAAGCCCUUCACCAUUGAUUCACAGGUUUUACAGGAUUCAUUCUUGUCUUUGUUGGAUUAAUAUUCUGCCUCCCAGGUAAUUUGGAGGCAAGAAAGGUACGUGAGCCUACUUUAUUAAAAGAUAUUUGGAAACUUCCUCCGGGGAAGACAAUUGACGUGACGUUUAAUAGUCGUAACCAAUCUAUUGGAAAAGAGGGUCGAAAGCUUGGUAGCUUUCUAGGAAUUAUUGCAAGAACUCCAGAAUUAACACCUUUACACAUAGAUGAUUGGAGAAAUUUUGACGAGGAAAAGAAGAAAUUGUUG